AUUGAACGCUGGCGGCAGGCCUAACACAUGCAAGUCGAGCGAUCGGCGGACGGGUGAGUAAUGUCUGGGAAACUGCCUGAUGGAGGGGGAUAACUACUGGAAACGGUAGCUAAUACUGCCUACCAUCAGAUGUGCCCAGAUGGGAUUAGCUAGUGGGUGGGGUAAUGGCUCACCUGGGCGACGAUCGCUAGCUGGUCUGAGAGGAUGACCAGACAUGCUGGAAUUUAGCAACGGUCCAGACUCAGACGGGGGGCAGCAGUGGGGAAUAUUGGGCAAGGGGCGCAAGCAUGAGGCAGCACGGCCGGGUGGGUGGAGAAGGCAUUCGGGUUGUAAAGCACUUUCAGCGGGACGGCGUUACCCGCAGAAGAAGCACCGGCUAACUCCGCGCCAGCCGCCGCGGUAAUAC
rnacentral:rRNA from 1 species